GGAGGGGUUCCCGAGUGGCCAAAGGGAUCAGACUGUAUAUCUGACGGCUCAGCCUGCGGUGGUUCGAAUCCACCUCCCGCCACCA
rnacentral:tRNA from 1 species